rnacentral:rRNA from 1 species
AUUGCCCUAGUAACGGGCGAGUGAAGCGGCAACAGCUCAAAUUUGAAAUCUGGCCUCGGCCCGAGUUGUAAUUUGCAGAGGAUGCUUCUGGCGCGGUGCCUUCCGAGUUCCCUGGAACGGGACGCCACAGAGGGUGAGAGCCCCGUAUGGUCGGACACCAAGCCUGUGUGAAGCUCCUUCGACGAGUCGAGUAGUUUGGGAAUGCUGCUCUAAAUGGGAGGUAAAUCUCUUCUAAAGCUAAAUACCGGCCAGAGACCGAUAGCGCACAAGUAGAGUGAUCGAAAGAUGAAAAGCACCUUGAAAAGGGGGUUAAAUAGUACGUGAAAUUGUUGAAAGGGAAGCACUUGUGACCAGACUUGGGCCGGGCGGCUCAUCAGGGGUUCUCCCCUGUGCACUCCGCCCGGCACAGGCCAGCAUCGGUUCUCGUGGGGGGAUAAGACCGUCAGGAACGUAGCACCCUCCGGGGUGUGUUAUAGCCUGGCGGACGAUACCCCCGUGGGGACCGAGGUUCGCGCUCCGCAAGGAUGCUGGCGUAAUGGUCACCAGUGACCCGUCUUGAAACACGGACCAAGGAGUCGUCCAUUAGAGCGAGCGUUUGGGUGUAAAACCCGCACGCGUAAUGAAAGUGAACGCAGGUGAGAGCUUCGGCGCAUCAUCGACCGAUCCUGAUGUUCUCGGAAGGAUUUGAGUAAGAGUUUUAACGGACGGACCCGAAAGACAGUGAACUAUGCUUGUAUAGGGUGAAGCCAGAGGAAACUCUGGUGGAGGCUCGCAGCGGUUCUGACGUGCAAAUCGAUCGUCAAAUAUGAGCAUGGGGGCGAAAGACUAAUCGAACUGUCUAGUAGCUGGUUACCGCCGAAGUUUCCCUCAGGAUAGCAGUGUUGAUCUUCAGUUUAUGAGGUAAAGCGAAUGAUUAGGGACUCGGGGGCGCUAUAUACCCUUCAUCCAUUCUCAACUUUAAUAUGUAAGAAGCCCUUGUUACUAAUUUAACGUGGCAUUCCAAUGUACCACCCUAGUG